GAUGAACGCUGGCGGCGUGCCUAAUACAUGCAAGUCGAGCGAAUGAUGAGGAGCUUGCUCCUCUGAUUUAGCGGCGGACGGGUGAGUAACACGUGGGUAACCUGCCUGUAAGAUGGGGAUAACUCCGGGAAACCGGGGCUAAUACCGAAUAAUAAAAGAAGAAGCAUUUCUUCUUUUUGAAAGUUGGUUUCGGCUAACACUUACAGAUGGGCCCGCGGCGCAUUAGCUAGUUGGUGAGGUAACGGCUCACCAAGGCGACGAGGCGUAGCCGACCUGAGAGGGAUAUCGGCCACACUGGGACUGAGACACGGCCCAGACUCCUACGGGAGGCAGCAGUAGGGAAUCUUCGGCGAUGGGCGAAAGCCUGACCGAGCAACGCCGCGUGAGCGAGGAAGGCCUUCGGGUCGUAAAGCUCUGUUGUCAGGGAAGAACAAGUACGAGAGUAACUGCUCGUACCUUGACGGUACCUGACCAGAAAGCCACGGCUAACUACGUGCCAGCCGCCGCGGUAAUAC
rnacentral:rRNA from 1 species